rnacentral:rRNA from 1 species
AGUGAACGCUGGCGGCGUGCCUAAUACAUGCAAGUCGAACGAUGAAGUCCUAGCUUGCUCGGAUGGAUUAGUGGCGCACGGGUGAGUAAUAUAUAGUUAAUCUGCCCUACACAGAGGAACAACAGUUGGAAACGACUGCUAAUACCUCAUACUCCUAUUUGACAUAAGUUAAAUAGGGAAAGUCUUUUCGGUGUAGGAUGAGACUAUAUCGUAUCAGCUAGUUGGUAAGGUAAUGGCUUACCAAGGCUAUGACGCGUAACUGGUCUGAGAGGAUGAUCAGUCACAUUGGAACUGAGACACGGUCCAAACUCCUACGGGAGGCAGCAGUAAGGAAGAUUGCGCAAUGGGGGAAACCCUGACGCAGCAACGCCGCGUGGAGGAUGACACUUUUCGGAGCGUAAACUCCUUUUAUCAGGAAAGAAUAAUGACGGUACCUGAUGAAUAAGCACCGGCUAACUCCGUG